rnacentral:rRNA from 1 species
UCCUGCAACCCUACCACUUUGUGUCAUGAUCCUGUUUGAGCUUGUAAGCCAAGCAAGAUUGUGCUUGCAUCUGCACUUAGAUGGGAGACCUCCAAAAAACUUCAAAAUGAGCUAAUGCUGUAU